ACCAUGCUCCGAAAUGCUGGUUGCCAGUGAAUAUUGAUCCUUAGCACCUCAGCACCUUUUGCAACAGUGCUCGCUCCCUAUGUGAAGGAGGCUUCGCUCCGAGCACAUGUAGGUCAAGGAAUCUACACUCGGUGGUUAGGUACUACCCCAGAAAUCUACUGGAUUUUUCUCCCAGGAACCUAAGGAUCCCAGUAAGAAUCCAGGCCUGCCCCACAUCACUGGGGCUUGUAUUUUCACUCUAACAGAUGGAGGGUGAAACUUCUUUGUUUCCUCUUCGGUUGUGUUGUUCCUGAGUUUAGCUCAGUCAGUGCAGCACAGGAGGCAUUUGAGGGAAAAUUUUGGAUGUGAAUGGACAUGCCUUCCCCAGAGGCAAAGAAGUUUGUAAACUACUUUUCCAAAGCUCAUACUAUAUGCUUUUGAAAUAAAAAUGCUUCUCUUCGGAAAGGGAGGGUGAUGUUUUGACCUGGGCAGCAUACCUGGGGCUUCAAGAUUGAGCCAAAUCUGAGUUCAGGGGCGUCGUGGAGGUGCAGGGAUCUCAGGGCCGCGACAGGGCAAAUUGCAGAUGGAGUUUGCCCUUCUUCUCCAUAAAUGCGGGGCAGCCUCCCUUCAGCAAGGCUUCGUGCUUGAGAAAGGGGAGGCUUGUUAGAAAAGGGCAGCUUUGAAACUGAAUUCUCUUUGCCAAGAGCUAAUGGACUGUCUUCAACUUGCAUGAAAAUAUUUUCAGCGUGGUAACCAGAGAAGCCAAAAUGAGGCCUCCACAGACCUAAUUUGGCAUCAGUUUAUCUCCACGUGAGAAGAUCUGGAUGCGCUUAUUUUCCUCUCUGCUAUAACUGAGAGAAAAACAAACAGAAACCCUGCAAAGGUUCACUGAGACAGGAGUCAGUCACAAAAAAGGAAUUUGAACCAAGAUAACGUUACAUUUUAUCCACAUGUUCCUGAAGCCUGAGCCCUACCAGUCCAACAGACCUGAUUCUGCCUUUUGCCAUUGCCAUAAAACUUUACCGUGUGGGCAGAGACUUUGUGUAACUCAGAGACCCUCACACACAGAGGCACACACACAUGCAAACCUCCUUUGAUACCUCGGGGAUACCACCAGAAUGGACAGAUUCCAAGACCAGGGGUGCUGCAGUCCUGGAAGGAAGCCCAGGCUGCAGGGCUGCCAGGCCCCGCCAAUCUUCUACUCAAAGAGGUGAAUGUCAUCCCGGGGUAAACUCUCCUUCCAAGGACCUUUCCAAGGUGCGGAGGCAUUAGUCACCUGCGUGAUGACUUCUCAGGACUGAGGACCCUAUCCCUCAAUCUCCAUCCACUCCAGUGACCUGCAUGAGGUCAGCAUCGGAGAGCUUAGUUUCACAGCCUGAGGGCUGGAGUUGACUGCAAAGGCUUCAAAUGAGCUCAGGGUGAGCUGUGAGUGCCAAAACUUCUGGCUUACCCUCUGACUGCGAUGAUUAUCAAGGAUCCAGAACGCAGAGAGCAGACGUCCCUCAGCGUGCCUGGUCCGAGGACCAGGGGUAAGCGCUGUGUCCACCCUAUGACUGACAAAUGGAGCCCAGCCAGAGAAAGACCAGGAUGCCGUCCAGGAUCUGGAAGAGUUUAGCUUGGACCAGAGAAGACAUGGAGGAGCCUGAAAUGAGAAUUACUUUAAUAAGCCAUCUAUUGCUGUAUACAAACCACACCUAAAACUAAGUGGCUUAAACCAACAAUAACCAUUCAUUUGCUCAGGAUUCUGCAGUCUGGGCUGGAGAGAUUUUUCUCUGCCCCACGUGGUGCAGUGGGGUGGGGUGGUGCAAGCGGGUUGACUGGGACUGGAGGAGCCAUGAUUGCUUCCCUGGCAGGUCUGUCAUGGUGGCUGGGGUGACUGGAAGGGCUGUGGACUGGCUAUGCCUCUCUGCUUGUUGGGCCCUGUCAACCUGCUUCUCCACCUGGCUCUCAUCUUCAAGGAGGCUAGCCCAGGCAUCUCAGGAAGUAAGACAGUGAAAGGGGAGGUUACAAGGUUUUUGAGGUUUGAGACUAGAAUUUUUGUCACAUUCUAUUGGACCCAGCAAGCCAUAAGACCCGUCCAAAUAUAAUGUGAAAAGGGACCACAUUAAAAUGUGAAUUCAGGAGUGUGAUUCACUGGGGGCGAUUUCAUAGCAGGCUUUCGAAAGAACUAAUAUCUAGUUUUUCUGUAGUCUUUAUGGUUUACAAAGGACGUUUUCUUGCACUCUUAUGUGAUCAUUACAACUAUGUUGAUUAUGGAAAGUAGUAUGCAGGUAAAACAAAAAAAAAAUCAUUAAAAAGUUCUGCUUUA